rnacentral:rRNA from 1 species
UACGGAGGGUGCAAGCGUUAAUCGGAAUUACUGGGCGUAAAGCGCGCGUAGGUGGCUACUUAAGCUAGAUGUGAAAUCCCCGGGCUUAACCUGGGAACUGCAUUUAGAACUGGGUGGCUAGAGUACAGCAGAGGAUAGUGGAAUUUCAGGUGUAGCGGUGAAAUGCGUAGAGAUCUGAAGGAACAUCAGUGGCGAAGGCGACUGUCUGGGCUGAUACUGACGCUGAGGUGCGAAAGCGUGGGGAGCAAACAGG